GUACACUCCUGCGGGAGGCAGCAGUGGGGAAUUUUGGACAAUGGGCGAAAGCCUGAUCCAGCAAUGCCGCGUGAGUGAAGAAGGCCUUCGGGUUGUAAAGCUCUUUUGUCAGGGAAGAAACGGUGAAAGCUAAUAUCUUUUGCUAAUGACGGUACCUGAAGAAUAAGCACCGGCUAACUACGUGCCAGCAGCCACGGUAAUACGUAGGGUGCAAGCGUUAAUCGGAAUUACUGGGCGUAAAGCGUGCGCAGGCGGUUUUGUAAGUCUGAUGUGAAAUCCCCGGGCUCAACCUGGGAAUUGCAUUGGAGACUGCAAGGCUAGAAUCUGGCAGAGGGGGGUAGAAUUCCACGUGUAGCAGUGAAAUGCGUAGAUAUGUGGAGGAACACCGAUGGCGAAGGCAGCCCCCUGGGUCAAGAUUGACGCUCAUGCACGAAAGCGUGGGGAGCAAACAGGAUUAGAUACCCCUGUAGUCCCAUGAU
rnacentral:rRNA from 1 species